CAAGGAAUUGACGGGGGCCCGCACAAGCGGUGGAGUAUGUGGUUUAAUUCGAAGCAACGCGAAGAACCUUACCAGGCCUUGACAUCCCCGGCGAAGACAUGGAGACAUGUUGGAGGUUAUCCGGGAGACAGGUGGUGCAUGGUUGUCGUCAGCUCGUGUCGUGAGAUGUUGGGUUAAGUCCCGCAACGAGCGCAACCCUUGUGAUAUGUUACUAACAGUAAGAUGAGGACUCAUAUCAGACUGCCGGUGACAAACCGGAGGAAGGUGGGGAUGACGUCAAAUCAUCAUGCCCCUUAUGGCCUGGGCUACACACGUACUACAAUGGCGGCUACAAAGAGCGGCGAACCCGCGAGGGGGAGCGAAUCUCAUAAAGGUCGUCUCAGUUCGGAUUGAAGUCUGCAACCCGACUUCAUGAAGUUGGAAUCGCUAGUAAU
rnacentral:rRNA from 1 species